rnacentral:rRNA from 1 species
GAUCAUGGCUCAGGACGAACGCUGGCGGCGCGCCUAACACAUGCAAGUCGAACGAGCGAGAGAGAGCUUGCUUUCUCGAGCGAGUGGCGAACGGGUGAGUAACGCGUGAGGAACCUGCCUCAAAGAGGGGGACAACAGUUGGAAACGACUGCUAAUACCCCGUAAGCCCACGACCCGGCAUCGGGUAGAGGGAAAAGGAGCAAUCCGCUUUGAGAUGGCCUCGCGUCCGAUUAGCUAGUUGGUG